UGGUACUUGAGGAUCGUUGUGGUGACCUUGAAGCUAACUUUUUUUAAUCUCUCCUUAAAGCACUUUCUUACAUGAUGGCAAAAGCAUCUCAAGGCAUUGGUAUGUUGAUGCGUUUUUUACAUUUUGCAGCACAGGUGCUUUGUAUGCAUUUCAGCUGCUUUGUGUUAUGUUCUAUUAAGACCUUAAAAUUAACAGAUUGUUUUUUACACUUUAGCCUAGUUUGGCAGCCUCAAGAUGCAAUUUCAUUAUUUUGUUGCUUCUAUACUUACUAUAGUCGGAACUUAAUCAGUUAAUCUUCAAUGCCCCCUGAGUACAACCGCCUCAUGUAUUGUUUGCUUAAUUAGAACAUUGUUGCUUCCUGACAUAGUUGCAUCAUGAACCCUGAUAUGUCUUGAUAAGAAGAUGACUAAUAUGUAUACCAUGCAUCGAAAAAGAAAAAAAGAAAAGAAAAUAAUGCCUAAUGAUUUUUUUCACCUCCUUUUCCUACAUUGUCUACUGGAACCUGAAGGGAUUGAAUGUUGCCUCGAUCCAGAGUUGCCUCACACGUUAUUGUUGAAAACUUUCAAUACUCGGCUGGCGCUUUUAGUGGUCCAAUAUAUAGUUUAGUAAAGCCUUCAACUGCAAUUUUGCCAGGUAUAGAGAUUUUUCAGCUGGUUGCACAAGUUGGGUGCCUAACAAAAUCAUACUUUGUACCUUAGCCUUUGAAGCUUUUUUAAGUGAGGAAGGGGCUAGGCCUUCCAUGGAUUUGGAUGAUACAUAUUUGUGGACCCUAAAUCUUGAUGGGCGAGUCUACGAUGUUCGGCUAUAGUUUACAUUCCUGUGACUGUAUGGCUGAAUAGUUUUAUUCCACUUGGAUUCGUCAUAGGGAAUUGAUUUGGGGACCAUAAAAUUCAAAAGGAAUCCAAUUGCUCCGGCUCGUGGCCUCGGGCUUCAGGAUUUGGUCACAAGAUCCGGGCUUGUGGUUUUAUAUAUUGAAAGGGGUUUGGCGAGUGCAAGUCUCCAAGAGUCAUAUCCUAUGAUCCAACCCAGUUCAUCGAAAAUAUCACCCGCUCACAGCAUAUCUGCCCCAAAUGUUGCAUCCAUUCAAACAUUGAGAUUUUUUUCUUCCUUGCUCCGAGUCAAACACCAUGGUUAUCACUUUUCACCAUGACUGAUUCAUUGAUUUCCAGAUCUACCUACUAAUAAUUGAUUGGUUUUCAUGAGGGUGAUGGUUAUCAUAGCUUGAACGAAGGUCGUCCAAAGCUCCCUUUGUGCACCGGUUAUCAGAGGGACUGUCAAUGUAGCUUGAGAUAUAUGACUUCACUUUGGUUCUGCCAAUGAGGUACUGGACCUUUUGUCGACAGUAUAUCUGUGGAAAAGUGGCAGAAUGGCGAAGUUUGAAAUGUCAAAGAGCAUAUAGUAAAAAAGUGGACGAUUCCAUCUAGAGAAGCCACCACAAUCAACUAGGCUUUUUCUACUUUGUCAGAAACACUGAAGUCCAGUGCUGCAGUUUUGUUUGGGAGAAAAUACUUUCUCUGAAAGUGCUGCAGUCUUCUAUUGGAUCGUCUUGAAGGGUUAGCAUUGAAAGAGGGAUGAAGGGGUGGCCAUCUCUUCAAGCGAGCAGGUUGACGGAUUGGUUGAGUUGACAUGGAGUGGUGAGAUGUUUUGCUGUGGAUGACACAAGCCUUGUGCAAGGCCAUGUAUAAUUAGACUAUAUGUGACAGAUUGGCAAUGGGAUUUUACUAGGGUGGGAAUAAACUUAUUAUGUGCAGAUUUUAAACAAUGCGUGGAGGCCGAGUUCACAGGACUGUGGCAGAGAACAUUGUGCGUCUAUUUGAGGAGGAAGUCAUUGUGCUUUGGAGAUGCAUUGAUUACUGGGUGACUGCUGGACGUCGAAAGCAUGAACUCAUUGUGCAUUAAAGUAAGACCUGAGAAUUGAGAUUGCUUUUUACUUGGUAAUGGUGUCAAUUUUGUCUGGAAGGGACCUGACUUUUCACUUGUCGCCAAAGUAACUAGUGGAGGUAGUUUCUAAAUUAAGUUUGAACUGAUAAAUUUCUCCUCCUUUUUUUUUUUUAAAGAGGGACAAAUGUAUCCUCAAACAUUGCAAAUGCAAGUUAAACUACUUCUUUGCCACUAACUGACAAAUUUAUCCUCAAA